CCCAGGAGUUGCUUUUCCAUUUGUCAAGGCUCUUACAAUGGUGAAUCAACGUUUGAGUAAGCUGGAACCAGCCGUUAAAGAGUGGUUUAAAAUUGUGUUGAUACCUACCAACAGUCAGGACAUGGAUCCCCUAAAAAAGAGCAUUGAAAACCACAAAACUUGAAGAAAAUAAGAUGUCAUGUU